rnacentral:lncRNA from 1 species
UAUUUUAUAUAUUUUCUUAUUUAUUCCAAACUCUCUCUUUUUCUUCACAUUUUUAAAUUUUUAAACAUCUCUAUUAUUAUUAUUUUUUAUUUACAUAUUUUCGUAUUUUUUUUAUUUUUUUUUAUUAUUUUUUAUGAUAUUCUUUCCUAAUAUGAUUUAAAAUUCAUUCUACAACAUUAAUAUACCUUAUUUAUAUUAUUUUACUACCCUUAACAUAAAGCUACAUAAAAAAAA